rnacentral:rRNA from 1 species
AACGAACGCUGGCGGCAUGCCUAACACAUGCAAGUCGAACGAGACCUUCGGGUCUAGUGGCGCACGGGUGCGUAACGCGUGGGAAUCUGCCCUUGGGUUCGGAAUAACAGUUAGAAAUGACUGCUAAUACCGGAUAAUGUCUUCGGACCAAGAUUUAUCGCCCAGGGAUGAGCCCGCGUAGGAUUAGCUAGUUGGUGAGGUAAAGGCUCACCAAGGCGACGAUCCUUAGCUGGUCUGAGAGGAUGAUCAGCCACACUGGGACUGAGACACGGCCCAGACUCCUACGGGAGGCAGCAGUGGGGAAUAUUGGACAAUGGGCGAAGCCUGAUCCAGCAAUGCCGCGUGAGUGAUGAAGGCCUUAGGGUUGUAAAGCUCUUUACCCGGGAUGAUAAUGACAGUACCGGGAGAAUAAGCCCGGCUAACUCCGUGCCAGCAGCCG